rnacentral:miRNA from 10 species
GUAAGGAGGGGGAUGAGGGGAUCAUGUCUCUUCUCAAGGAAAGCAGGAGCCCUUCUGGAGCCCUUCAGCAGGGUCAGGGCCCCUCAUCUUCCCCUCUUUUCCCAG